rnacentral:rRNA from 1 species
UACGUAGGGUGCGAGCGUUAAUCGGAAUUACUGGGCGUAAAGCGUGCGCAGGCGGUUCGUUAAGUCAGAUGUGAAAGCCCGAGGCUCAACCUCGGAACUGUCUUCGAUACUGCGGGUCUCGAGUCCGGGAGAGGCGAGUGGAAUUCCUGGUGUAGCGGUGAAAUGCGCAGAUAUCAGGAGGAACACCAAUGGCGAAGGCAGCUCGCUGGAACGGUACUGACGCUGAGGCGCGAAAGCGUGGGGAGCGAACAGG